rnacentral:rRNA from 1 species
GACGUAGGGCGCGAGCGUUGUCCGGAUUUAUUGGGCGUAAAGAGCUCGUAGGCGGCUUGUCGCGUCGAAUGUGAAAACCCACGGCUCAACUGUGGGCUUGCAUUCGAUACGGGCAGACUAGAGUUCGGUAGGGGAGACUGGAAUUCCUGGUGUAGCGGUGAAAUGCGCAGAUAUCAGGAGGAACACCGGUGGCGAAGGCGGGUCUCUGGGCCGAAACUGACGCUGGAGGAGCGAAAGCGUGGGGAGCGAACAGG